CUGCUCGCACAGAACCAACAUAAACAAGCAUCACAGGUUCGGCUAUUGCAAUUACAGUAUUUUGCAUCCAUCGUUGAGAUUGCCGGCCGGUUCAUAAUCGCUGUCACAAACGAAAUAUUACGACGUACUAUUGAUUCGUCUACAUUACAUUGUCGUCCACGUCGCGUCGGUAUUCGGAUCAGAACUCGCCACUCGGACUCAGUGAUUCACUCCCCCCUUUGUUUAGAUUGCAACAACAAUGGCAUCCAAGGUACCACGAGUGACGCUCAACAAUGGCAAAUCGAUUCCGAUUCUCGGUCUGGGAACGUGGGGUUCUCCUCCCGGUGAAGUCGCACAGGCAGUAAAGGAUGCCAUUGACGUUGGCUACCGUCACAUCGAUGGUGCCCAUGUGUACCAAAAUGAACACGAGGUUGGCGAAGGUGUUAACGCUAAGAUCGCUGAAGGCGUUGUCAAACGUGAGGAUCUGUUCAUUACGAGCAAGCUGUGGAACACUUUCCAUCGUCCGGAUCUGGUCGAAGGUGCCUGUCGAACGACGCUGAAGAACCUUGGACUGGAAUACGUCGACCUGUAUCUGAUCCACUGGCCGAUGGCCUACAAGGAGGACGGCGAGCUGUUUCCCGCCGAUGCCGACGGAAAGACAGCUUAUUCCGACGUUGACUAUUUGGACACCUGGAAGGAAAUGGAAAAGUUGGUCGAAUUGGGACUUGCCAAGAGUAUUGGCAUUUCCAACUUCAACUCGAAACAGGUCGAACGGGUUUUGGCUAUUGCCAAGAUCAAGCCAGUGACGAACCAGGUUGAGUGCCACCCCUAUCUGGCUCAAACUAAGCUGUCAGCCUUCUGCGCUAGCCGAGAUAUUGUCAUUACCGCGUACAGUCCCCUCGGUUCACCCAACCGUCCAUGGGCUAAGCCAGAAGAUCCCCAACUGAUGGAAGACCCGAAAAUUGUUGCCAUUGCCAAGAAAUACAACAAGACAUCAGCUCAAAUCUUGAUUCGGUAUCAGAUUCAGCGAGGCCACGUAGUUAUCCCCAAGUCCGUGACCAAAUCACGCAUCCAAUCCAACUUUGAGGUGUUUGACUUUGAGCUAACCGAGGACGAUAUGAAGCUGAUCACGUCCUUCGACUGCAAUGGACGUUUGGUGCCGAUUACCAGCGCUGAUACCAGUCCAUAUUACCCUUUCCACGAGGAUUUUUAAGCUGUGCCUGUUGUCAAGCGAAAUUUGAAGAAAACGUAAACGUUCUGCUGCCAAUGUUGCUGCUGGUCACCCGUAUCAUCCUUUCGAGAAGGAAGAAUUUUAGUUGCGUCCGCACACAAAUGUCGCUGAAAUCAUCACACCAUACUGUCCUUGGAAGAACAACCCGUUUGGAUGGCUUCGUUGUGAAGUAUCACUUGUACUACCGAUCGGGAUUCCCUUUUGUUAAUUGUCGCUUUAUUAUAAUGGAAUAUACUGAUUUUUAACGAU